AAUGGGCGAAAGCCUGACGCAGCAACGCCGCGUGCGGGAAGAAGGCCUUCGGGUUGUAAACCGCUUUCAGAAGGAACGAAACUGACGGUACUUUCAGAAGAAGGUGCGGCCAACUACGUGCCAGCAGCCGCGGUGACACGUAGGCACCAAGCGUUGUCCGGAUUUAUUGGGCGUAAAGAGCUCGUAGGCGGUUCGGUAAGUCGGGUGUGAAAACUUUGGGCUCAACCCAAAGCGUGCAUUCGAUACUGCCGUGACUAGAGUUCGGUAGGGGAGUGGGGAAUUCCUAGUGUAGCGGUGAAAUGCGCAGAUAUUAGGAGGAACACCGGUGGCGAAGGCGCCACUCUGGGCCGAAACUGACGCUGAGGAGCGAAAGCGUGGGUAGCAAA
rnacentral:rRNA from 1 species